UGAAACAGGGCUUGUCCCAGAAUAUGUGUAGCUUCUGUAGUCCACACUCUCACCUGCACAGAGUAGUCUCAGCAGGAUCCAGAAACCAAGACGUCUCCCCAAGAUGCUGUGACAAAGACCCCUGGGUAGGCCGGACACCUCUCCUCUGACAAGGAAGAUGCCUGUGUGUCUGGACCCCGAAACAGGGUCUGCCCCAGAAGCUCUGUGGCUUCUGCCUGUUCCAGAAGCUCUUAGCCUCUGUAGUCCACACUCUCACCUGCACAGACCAGUCUUGGCUGACCACCAAAUAAUUUUUAAGACAGUCAGAUCAUGACCCAAGUUCCGUGGUGCUUUCCUUUACAUAGAACAUCCUAAUUCUAAGGAGGCUUAUGCUACCUUGGAAUCCUUGAUCAAACCUAGGUCAUAGGCUAUGGCAGUAUUGUGAAUGAAUACCAACAUUACAGCUUUAGUCAUCAUAACACUUCUCUAGGGGUCUUAGUUUCAGAGCCCAAGUAGUUACAUUUAUAGCAGAAAGAGGAGUUUAAUAGAUGCCCUUAAUGAUAGGAGUUGGUGGCACUGGUUUGCAAAUACAUAAAACAUGUUUUACUCACACGUUCUUUGCAGAUAAAAAAAAAAAAAAAACACCAUAAAAAUAGUUCCAUGACAAUUCUUUCCUGAUAAUCUCUGAAAAAGAAAAUCAUGUUGACUUCAAAGAUUAACUAUGAACUCACAUCAUUGGAAGGAGAAUGACUUGCAAACAAGAAAAGAUAAAAGUGAUGAAGAGACAAAUGUGAGAAGACACCAGGGAAGGAUUGAGAUUCUUUAAAAGAACUGAAACCUUUAGGCUCAGUGAUUUAUCCUACAAAAACAAAAGUGUCAUCUUUCUGUUGCUUAUGUGUGUAUCUGUGGCUCAAGUGAGUCUCCAAUUUAUUCUAUCCAGAGGAAGUAUCCACCCAGCAGCAGGAACCUAAAACCAUGCUGACAAUGUAUUAGAAGAAAAGGCACAAUAGUGAUUCUGUGAAAACUCCAUGGGAAAACAUAUAAAACAGAUGUUUCUCCAAAUCUCCAGAGGUUCAGCUGCUGGCCUGAGACUUGACCAAGAAAAGAGCAGAACACCGAGGGAUAUCAAUAGAACACAAUAUAACAAGAUGCAAUAAGACUAGACAUAAAACCUCAUAUCUAGACUGGAUGAAGCAUAUAGAGCCUGUCCCAACCAUCUUCUGUAAUCAGGAUAGACACACAUUCACUGUACUGGAAUGCAACCCAGCUACAAAACCUACUGCUCACAACCUGGCCUGCCUGCAAGAUGCACUAGGAAAAAUCACUGAUUCCUCAAACUUGAGAGGCUACAGGAGCAUGCAUCUAUCUCACCUGCCUCAGACUUCUUCACGCUGUGGCCAUGGCCUGGAUUGAUAGACACAAUGUGACUCAAAUGAAUAGCAUCUUACUAGCAUAUAGCUAAAUAAAUAAGAAUACUAGCUUUAAUAGCUUAUGCAUAUGUAUUUUCAUUCUUAUUUUUGUUUUAUAUAGUAUGAGGACAUGUUUUUCUUUGCUUCUGUGUUU